rnacentral:lncRNA from 1 species
AAAUAUUAUAAACGUGUUAUAAUAAUAUAAACGUACAAUAAACCGUACAGAUCACGUUGAUGAUCUCGAUAUAUAGAUUCUUUCACUUAUCGAAAUACUAUUUUUUUCGUUGAUCUAUCUAUCACGGGAAACAAUUGCGCCAAUAAAAAUAAGUAUAAUUUAGACGAAUGAACGAUACAGCAUGUUAUUUACUAUUAAACGCGACGAUCGCACUACUUUCUGUGGCAUUUAUAAUGUCGAAGCAAAUUAUUAUCAUGGAUCGGAGGCUCAAAAUUAUGAUAGCUUAUUUUCGAACAAAAAUCUCUGAUCAAACAAAAGUGUUACAGGGAUCUGCGGCAUAAACGUGUUUCUUAAAGAUUUUUAAGACGCAUCACAAGACUGUAAUAAUCGUGAUCGGCAUUAUUCGCGGAAGGAUCUCGUAUCUGUGUUUAUUCCGCAUACUUUCUAUACGUCUUAUUUUCCUAUUUUUCCCUUUGUUUUCACUCGUUUGUAUCUUUUUUUACGUUACUUUCCUCGCGUGAAUUUUCUAUAUUUUAUACGACACGUUUAUAUUAUUACUAUUACUAAUUUUCUGCGAAUUAUCGCCGACAACGAUGCUCGAUGAAUUAAUUUUUCCUGUUCAUUGCCGCCCCUCGAGUUGCACAGUUUUGCUCAGAGUGAAAACGAAUCAUUAUAAAGAUCACACGUCGAGUAGUGAGACGAGUUGUGUACGAUUUAAUAUUUCUUUCUGUCAACUGUCGGACAAACGUGCUUAUUUAUAACAUUUCAAUAUAAAUAUAGUUUCUUUUCUUUCUUUCUUUCUUUUCUUCUUUCUUCAAGUCGUUAUUACGUAAAUGUGGAACCCUCUGGUUUCAACGACUCGAUAGUCACGAUCCGCACUGUUUCCGCAGUUGAUUUAUUGUAACAUACCACGAGUGCCUACAAUAACAGCUGUAUGUUCUCUCCCAUAGUCCAUGGUAAAGUUUCAGAUUUUUUAACAGCUCGAGAUUAAAAAGCACACGUUUAUCGAGAGAGAAAAGACGAUGUUCGAGAAGGAGAGGAACCUAUUAUAUUUUGUAAAUAAUGAAUGUGUUAACUCGUGAUCGAUCACGUUUGUGAUCACAGAGAGAAUGCCACAAUGAACCAUGCGUAUGUGGUGAUCGUCGCAAGGUUCUCACUCGCAAAUUCCAAAUAAUCUUUUAUCUCACGAUUACUUGCCCACAAGAAAAUGUUACCUUCGACCACGGCGACUUAUAAAUCGAUAUUUGUACAUAACUGCACUUUUUUUUUCUUCUUUUGACCAAAAAAAAAAAAAAAAAAACACGCUACUCGUGCCGAUGAAACUAUGGCAAAUAUCAAAGGCGUUAAUAAAUAUCGGCCGGAGAAGGAACUUCUACAAAUAGCAUUUUUGAUCUAUUGUGUCUCCUCUUAUAUAUUUGUACCCCUGAAAUAGCUUCUUUGAGGACGUUUCAAAUACAGUUCCUAUACAUAUAUGGUAAAGCGACUUAGAGACUCGGUCGGCCGUUGUCCACGAUAAACAUGAUUCCAAGACAAGUUUCGAUCCUUCUUUCUCCGGCUGUACGGAGAUAUAAGUAUUUAGAUCUAAGGGACAUAUCCACAGCGUGUAGUGUACUUGUAUAUGAAUAAAUAUUUUCAAUGUUUUUGACAAUA